rnacentral:lncRNA from 1 species
GGGCGGGGGUGGUGGUGGCCUGGAGACCCCCAAAGGGAAAGUGUCCCCUGCGCUGCUCCUGCUCUAAAGACAGCGCCCUGUGUGAGGGCUCCCCGGACCUGCCCGUCAGCUUCUCUCCGACCCUGCUGUCACUCUCACUCGUCAGGACGGGAGUCACCCAGCUGAAGGCCGGCAGCUUCCUGAGAAUUCCGUCUCUGCACCUGCUCCUCUUCACCUCCAACUCCUUCUCCGUGAUUGAGGACGAUGCAUUUGCGGGCCUGUCCCACCUGCAGUACCUCUUCAUCGAGGACAAUGAGAUUGGCUCCAUCUCUAAGAAUGCCCUCAGAGGACUUCGCUCGCUUACACACCUAAGCCUGGCCAAUAACCAUCUGGAGACCCUCCCCAGAUUCCUGUUCCGAGGCCUGGACACCCUUACUCAUAGCUCCAUGAGGUCCCGGAGCCCCCCUCUCAACCCGCUCCUACCCCGCUGGUCCCUCUGAAAGCACCGAGGGGUUGAUGGCAUUCCUUUCCCAUUCUAAACUCCACGCAGCCAAUCGCUUUCCUGGAGGAGCGCCAACCUCGAAGACAACUCAGCACUGGGCGGGUUCCCCUCUGCUGCUUGUGCGCAUGCGU